GACGAACGCUGGCGGCGUGCUUAACACAUGCAAGUCGAACGGAAAGGCCCUGCUUUUGUGGGGUGCUCGAGUGGCGAACGGGUGAGUAACACGUGAGUAACCUGCCCUUGACUUUGGGAUAACUUCAGGAAACUGGGGCUAAUACCGGAUAGGAGCUCCUGCUGCAUGUGGGGGGUUGGAAAGUUUCGGCGGUUGGGGAUGGACUCGCGGCUUAUCAGCUUGUUGGUGGGGUAGUGGCUUACCAAGGCUUUGACGGGUAGCCGGCCUGAGAGGGGGACCGGCGACAUUGGGACUGAGAUACGGACCAGACUCCUACGGGAGGCAGCAGUGGGGAAUAUUGCACAAUGGGCGGAAGCCUGAUGCAGCAACGCCGCGUGCGGGAUGACGGCCUUCGGGUUGUAAACCGCUUUCGCCUGUGACGAAGCGUGAGUGACGGUAAUGGGUAAAGAAGCACCGGCUAACUACGUG
rnacentral:rRNA from 1 species